AAUUAUUUUUGAAGAUAGUGAACUUGUGGGCGAAUUUGAUCUUACCUAAAAUGUCCUCAGUUGCCUCAAAUUCGUCUUGGCAGAGGAGGAGGUCAAAGGGAUCAACUAAAGGGUAGCAGAGGAAUGGAGGAGGAGCAAUCACAGACAUGGAAGGGAAGAAAGGUAGCUUCCUUUUUCUUUUCCUACCACCACUCUCCUCUUUCCUAUCUUCUCCAUUGUCGAACUAUUACCUCACUUCGUCAUUCCCCGAUUUCCUCCAACAUGCAUAGCAUCAUCUAGUUGUAAAGAUGCUUCUUGUUGCUGUCAUAGUAUUUUAGAAGAGGAAAAUAAUAAUUUUUUUUUCUGGAGUUGCCAUCACCAUAUUCAUAUGACACUACCUCUACCUGUUGAAAUAACCUUGAAGAGGAGGCUCACUUAUAAUGCUUAUUAUCUAUACAUUGUCCUCUUAUAACUAAAUAACUAAAUGCAUAGAAUGAACAAUAUUUUGGUAAAUGUAAUCUCAUCAUUGAAGAGCC